AUCUAACUGUUGAAUAUAUACAGUAAAAAUACUAAAAUGAAAGUUUUGACACACCAUGCGAAUGUCCUAUCAAGUAAAGGUGACGAUUAACCAAAAUGAAGUGUAAUAUAACCUAAUUUCAAUGGGUUUUAUGCGGUUCGAGUGUUCACAAAACACCGGUUGACCUUGAAAAUGACAUGGGACGAUGAUGGGUAAAAAACAAUCUCGUCGAAUAACAUUUCUCAAUUAUCAACGAGUUUAAGCCGUUGACACUGCAUUGCAUGGGAAGAAAAGGUGAUAUUAGAACAGUGUUCAGAUGGAUCUAUUCAGUGUCAUAACUGUAAAAAAUGGUCGCAUCGUCAGUACUAUGACAUGUCGGACACAGACCUAAAAUCAUGGUCUCCAUCGUACCUUAAGUUUGUGUGUCAAAAGUGUGGAUUUCGUAAUGGAAAGUACGACGUCGAAGCUGCACUCAAGAGCAGUCAUGUGCAAUAGGUGCGUAUCUAAAAUUCUUGUCAAGAAAGUCUACAGACAGUUGGUGCCCUGGAGAUUGGAGACUCCCAUCAUAUGCUGUCACUAAAUGGAGCGCAGUAAAUUUUGCGACCUACACAUUUUCCAACGUACUUAAAAUGUUUGUUUUUUUCAUAAAAAAGUGAUAUUUAUAAUUAUAUGAAUAUCAUAAGCAGUUAGUAGGUAGUUCUUUGAGGAGAGUGAUGUUGACCAACAUUGACGUUACGUUUUAUUUAUUUGUAACAAUGAGGGGGUAAUAAUCAAUAAAUGGUGAGAAAUUGGGUAUUUCUUUUAUAAUAGUCUACAAUGGUUGACAAUCUUCCCCGCUCUUUAAAAUAAUAAUAGGUGCUUUUAAGGCAGUUUCUCGCAUUUCCUUGUCAGUGUCAUAAAUAGCCAUUUAUUUUUACCACUUGUGUCAUAGUGAAUAUACAGUAUCAUUAUGAUUUCUCAAACUCCAGUUUGCAAGACAUGA